rfam:Mesocricetus auratus contig210654, whole genome shotgun sequence.
UAGCUUAGUGGUUAGGAGCACUGGUUGCCCUCCCAGAGGACCUGGGUUCAAUUCCCAG